CCCUUAGAUGUUCUGGGCCGCACGCGCGCUACACUGACGAAGUCAGCGAGCAUGUCCUACGCCGACAGGUGCGGGGAAUCUUGUCAAACUUCGUCGUGAUGGGGAUUGAUUAUUGAAAUUCUUGAUCAUCAACGAGGAAUUCCUAGUAAGCGCAUGUCAGCAGCUUGCGUUGAUUACGUCCCUGCCCUUUGUACACACCGCCCGUCGCUACUACCGAUUGAAUGGUUUAGUGAGAUCUUCGGAUUGGCGCCACUGCGGCUCAGCAAUGGGCUCGGUGGAUGCCGAAAAGUUGAUCAAACUUGAUCAUUUAGAGGAAGUAAAAGUCGUAACA
rnacentral:rRNA from 1 species